GUAAGCAGCACCAGCCAAUCUCUGGGGCAGAGUGGUGACUAAGAAGAUGCACUGCACAGUGUCACCAGGAGACUAUUGGCUGCUAUUCAGAGGGAACAUCUGCCAAAGCUUGAGAUGAUCAAAGUAAAGAGUUCUGCAACUGGAGUUUUGAGGAGACUGCUGAGGUGGAGACCUGAAAGGAAUCUUUUUCAUCUCAGCCAUCAAUGACAGAGGGAAAAAGACAGCUCGCAAACCCUGCCUGCGUGACCUUGGUCUGUCUGUCCAGAAGGCCUUCAGGGAUGUACAAGAUUUGGCCUUCAACAUUGGUUUGGCAAGCCCAAAGCUUUACUCCCUAUCAGAUUUGAAGGAAAAAAGUAGGAAGCAGUGGUCUUUGUCUUGUGACACACAGAAGUUUGGAUUUGAGCUUGUACAGCUGUUUCCAACCUGCAGAAAAACCUGAGUUGCAGCAUGUUCUCUGGAAACGUGGAUUUAACACACUCCUGCGUGUGACUUUAUUCCACCUGCCCGAAACCGAAGCUUUUUGCACUGUGACCUGUUUUGGGACCUGUACUGCCUGGCAUAACAACCUGAGAGCUGAGUGAUGUGCUGUGGAGACACAGCCCUCUGAAAUGUCUGUAUCAUAGCAUGAGCCCAGGUGGCUGGUUCCCCCACCAUGAGAAGAGGACCAUGCCCUGGGCCCUUUGCAUGUUUAAGACUCAUGGAAAACUCUCGUCUAGCUCUCCUGGAGGUAUUAUUUACAAGAACAGUUCGUAUUCUUACUCAAAGAUUACACAAACACUGCUGACAAGGUCAGUGUCAAGAUGGAUUAGCUGGCAUGUAAAGGCCAACCGCGUAAAUAAAGCUCCCCAGGAGUAGUAUUAACUUGCCUUGUAGUGCAUUUAUUUAUUUAGCAGCUUUUUUCAUCUCUUAAUUUUAUGAAUCAGUCAUUUUAUUUGUUUAUGCCGGUUUCUACUCCUUAUCUUUCUUUACCCUUCCUCUAUCUCUGCAGUGUGCUAGCAGGUGGUGGUGCUAAGGGAUAUUUCUUCUGCCUUGUUCAUGUGUGCUUCUGUUCUACCCGUUGCUUGUGCAUGCUGUGGAAAAUGGUGGCCUUUUUAACAUUUGCAUAUCCAAUAAAUGAGGUGUGGUAAAUUUGCAAAACACUGCCUAGAGAUUGGAUGAUGAGCAUGUUUACUCACAUGGACAUACAUACACAUGCAUCCCUACCUUUACAAAGCUACCCCUACCUAUACAAUUAUUUUUCUGUACUAUAGUAUGGAAUUUCUGCAAGGGAUCAGGAUAUGACUAUAGUGUUAAGCUAUUCACUGGCCAUUUCUUUGUUAAAGCAGUUCAGCUCAUGAAACCACAGCUCAGAUCUCUGCAGUGGAAGCAAACACAAUGUAUAUACAGAUGUUUAUUCUCAUCCAUUAUAAAAGUAUUCCAUUGUUCAUUUCUCACUUCAUCACACUCACCUGUGCAGGUAGGAGGCUCUGCUGCUGCUGCUGCUGGGAGAGGUUUUCCUCGCUCCCACUUCACUGCUGCUGCUGGCAUCACUCAUGCUCACUGGGGCUGGACCUGAGGCUGGCUUCUCUACUGCAGCACUCCCCAUAUUUGCUUGAUUUGUAGUGUCCUGUGACGGUGUUCACAACACUGAAUUCUCUUUGCUCCUUACUUGCUUGUUUCUGGUUUUCUUUUCUUUGUUUCUGGGUAACAACCACUCUAUGCUAAGUGUACAACACAGAAGAAAAAGUCCCUGCCCCAGAGAAUCUGUCAUGCAACAUUAUUCCCAUCUUAACUCCUUAAAUAAUUGUAUUCAUCUCUGUCUUUCUCACCUCUGUUUCACUGUGUAACAUAUCUCAUGGCUUCUGUGGCUGCAUUUGAAAGAGACUAUAUAUGUCAAAAAAUAAAUUGAAUAUCUCUCAUGCUAACAAAGCAUAUAUUAAAGAACUGUAUAAAAAUUCUGUUCUUUCUCAUCCUAGUGAACCAUGGUAACUAUAGCCGAUAUUUUCACUUUAGUUGCCUUACACUGGUUUUUGAAAUGUAUGUUUAAACUUCUAUAUAAAUGGUGUACCACAGAGGAAGCUCAGUGUCUACAGUUUUGUGGGUACCUAGAACUUCCUCAGAUAAAACCCUAGAAGUGUUUUUUUGAUAAGAUUUUGGUGCUAAACUAGGCAUUUUCAACCCCAGCUGUCCAAAAUCCAUGAGUCAUAGAAAUCUGGAGAUUGGAUGAAGAGUUUUGAGAUCAAAAGCAACUUGAACUAAAAGCUGGCUGGUUUUCAAUGUUUCACUUUGUUUUCUGAUGCUCCAGUCUUUGAAGUUUUAUUUCCAAGAUUUUUUUUUUCACAACCAGGAGGGACAGCAAGUCCUUUAUUGUCAAAUAAGAGC